rnacentral:rRNA from 1 species
UACGGAGGAUCCAAGCGUUAUCCGGAAUCAUUGGGUUUAAAGGGUCCGUAGGCGGCUCAGUAAGUCAGUGGUGAAAUCUCGCGGCUCAACCGGGAAAUGGCCAUUGAUACUGUUGGGCUUGAAUUAUUAGGAAGUAACUAGAAUAUGUAGUGUAGCGGUGAAAUGCUUAGAGAUUACAUGGAAUACCAAUUGCGAAGGCAGGUUACUACUAAUGGAUUGACGCUGAUGGACGAAAGCGUGGGUAGCGAACAGG